UAGGAAGACGAGUCAGUAGCUCAUGGUGUG
rnacentral:piRNA from 1 species